rnacentral:rRNA from 1 species
AGUGAACGCUGGCGGUAGGCCUAACACAUGCAAGUCGAACGGCAGCACAGUAAGAGCUUGCUCUUACGGGUGGCGAGUGGCGGACGGGUGAGGAAUACAUCGGAAUCUACUUUUUCGUGGGGGAUAACGUAGGGAAACUUACGCUAAUACCGCAUACGACCUACGGGUGAAAGCAGGGGAUCUUCGGACCUUGCGCGAUUGAAUGAGCCGAUGUCGGAUUAGCUAGUUGGCGGGGUAAAGGCCCACCAAGGCGACGAUCCGUAGCUGGUCUGAGAGGAUGAUCAGCAACACUGGACCUGAGACACGGUCCAGCCUCCUACGGGAGGCAGAAGUGGGGAAUAUUGGACAAGGGGCGCAAGCCUGAUCCAGCCAGACCGCGUGGGUGAAGAAGGCCUUCGGGUUGUAAAGCCCUUUUGUUGGGAAAGAAAAGCAGCAGGUUAAUACCCCGCUGUUCUGACGGUACCCAAAGAAUAAGCACCGGCUAACUUCGU